rnacentral:rRNA from 1 species
GACGAACGCUGGCGGCGUGCCUAAUACAUGCAAGUCGAACGCAGUGGGGACGGGUGAGUAACAAGUGGGUAACCUACCAUCAGAGGGGAGAAAACUUGGAAACAGGUGCUAAACCGAUACUGAUGGAUGAACCCGCGGUGCAUUAGCUAGUCGGUGAGGUAACGGCUCACCAAGGCCACGAUGCAUAGCCGACCUGAGAGGGGGAUCGGCCACACUGGGACUGAGACAUGGCCCAGACUCCUACGGGAGGCAGCAGUAGGGAAUCUUCGGCAAUGGACGAAAGUCUGACCGAGUAAUGCCGCGUGAGUGAAGAAGGUUUUCGGAUCGUAAAACUCUGUUGUUAGAGAAGCGGUAUCUAACCAGAAAGCCACGGCUAACUCCGUGCCAGCAGCCGCGGUAAUUC